AUUCCCAAGCACCGCGCUGCUCUCGCUGGGACUCCUCUGCUUCACAUUACCGCCCAGCUGCAGCACAGCACAGACCUGUUCUGCCUAGGACCAAACCAGCUGCAUCGGGUACCACUCCUACUCGAAGCAGAAACAGCCUCCUUGUAUAUGAACAGCCCAUUAGAAAUGUCUUUGCUAACUUCUGAGUCUGAACAAGAGAGCAGUCCAGCAAGGAACAACUUGUAUGGGAUGAAGAGUACAAGUACAAUUCUGAUACAGACGCUGCCCCAUACCUCCAACCUUCCCCUCUGCUGUUCUGCCCUUUCUGGGUCUACAUAUCCUCCAGCAGUUCCACAAAGCAUUCACUGUGUGGCAGUCUCAUCAAUAUAUGCAGGGACGUAAUCAAGCUUUCUGUUUCUUUUUUUAAUAUUAUUAUUCUUUUCCUAAUACUUCCGAAUAUUGUUUGUCUCUUGAUAGCUGCUGAGAACUGGGAUGAUGUUUUUAGGGAAUUAAUCAGAAUAGCUCCAAGAUCUUCUUUGCUAAUUUAGAAUCCACCACUGUGAGCUUCAUAAUUGCAAUUGUUUUUGUUUUUUUUUUCCUCAGGAGUAUUGCUUUGCAUUAAUUUCUCACCCAAUCAUUCAAUGCAGUAAAAUCCUUCUGCAGCAUCCUUCUGCAGAAAGUUUUGGCUAUCUUGAGAAAUUUUGUAUCAGUCAAAAAUUGUUUCCUAAUCUCCUCCCUUUUUUUAGAGAUGUUAAAAUGUUGAAUAGUUAAGAAUGUUAAGACAUUGAAUACAGACAGCUCCAUUCAUUCCCCUACUAAACCUUUUGGAAAAUGACCACCUGUCAUAUUCUUUUUUAUUCCCCUUUUCUUUAACAUAUUACUAAUUCAGGAAGAAACUUAUGUCCACUUCUACCCAAAAUGGUUAGUUUUUAUUAAUAAUUGUUAAGACGAUUAUUAAAUAUCCAAGUAUGUAAUGCCAAGUUUUGCUGAUUUUUCCCCAUUAUUACACAUUAAAACACUGUCACAUACUUGUUCUUGUCUUUUUUUAAACUUCAGCUAAUCUGCUCACUAGAGAAUUGAGAUACACUAAUGAAUUUCAGUCUCACGCUCUUCAGUUCAGGUUCUUUCAAAAAGAUUUUUUCUUUAGUUUAAAUCUUUCUUCUAUGUUGCUGUGAUACUUUGUCAGAACUACAGUCAGCCUUCCUCCUUUUGUAUUUUAAAUUCUGUAAUUAGCUGUGUCAUUGCUUUUAGCAAGUCAAUGUUCAACAACAUUUUGGGCUUGUUUCAUAACAGUUAAAAAUUAAUUUUCUAUGUUCUCAUUUUUUCUGUUUCUUUUUCUAGGGUUUUGUACGUUCUCAUUUGGACAGAAGUUCAAAAACUGAAGUUUUUGCUAAUACCUUUAAUAGUCUUCUGAAAGCAUUUUACCCUUUGAAAAGCCUCUUUUAACUCCUUCUGAGAAAAGUUCAUCUUUCCUGUUUGAAGUUGUAUUAUGAUGGGAAGAUGGGCAUGGAGUUCUUUUCUUCUGCCUUCAGUGAUAUCGAAUUUGAGAAGGCUGUGACCAGUAUUGCAGAGCAGAUUACCAUUAUGAUUUUACAGCAGAAUUUCAAGAAAUAAGUAAAUUUUAUUUUCAUGACAAA